UGUAGCAGGAGCACACCUGCACACCAUACGUGUCAUCCGAAUAUUUUUUUUUUUUACAAAAAAUUGAAAACGUGCAUUUUUGAAAUGGGGUCCUCAGUUUGGUUUUCCAUUUCAAAAUCAUCCCGCGAAAGGUGCCGUUCGUCGCCCGCGUGACAGGUUCCUCCGCCCAGCACCACCGGCGACGCCGUCUCUCCGCCCAGAAACAUCGAGCACAGUACUUCGUCGGCACACAGCUGCCGGUCCUUGGGAGAAGAAAAAACAGAGCACACGGUCAGUUUUACACUAUCUGCGAAGACCCCCUCCCUCGCCGGCGCCACCUCUGCUGAUACUUUGACAGGCCACUUGAAGGCAGCUAUAUUUGUUGAAGGUCGAAGAUCCAUUUCAGUUCUUGGCUGUGUGCAUGAAUAUAACUGAUGCAUUGAGAAGUUCAUCCCCAGAGACCUUUGAUUCACAUAUACCUGUACACCAGAUUUUACCACAGAUAAACGCAUUGACAAUUUGAUGGGAAGAGUUCAUUGUUGGGUUGACGAUUCACUCGGAAUGCAUUGUAUGCUGCCUUGGAGCCGGGCAGAUUUAAUGUUCUGCCACUAUGUUCAUCUGAUUUUUGAAGAGGAGCUUAUGAACUGAAGAAUUGUUGAUUUUAGAAUGAUGGCUUUUGUAAAUAUUUGUAGAUAUUUCAUACUAUAAUACAGAGCUGAAUGUAGAGUUCUAUUGUACAGCUCAAUAUCCAUUCCAAUAUCCAUUCGAUUGUAGAGUUCUAAUGUUAAGGGUACAGGUUUCCUUAUCUUACAGAAUGGAAGCUUCAAACCCAUUUGAAGGGAGCUCAAGUUCUUAGGCCAGUCUUUUGCUCUAGUGUUGAUUUGACUUGGAGACCCUUCCAGUUGGCAGCAAUCUCGAGUGUUAAGGCAGCACUGUAGGAAUUGUAAUGUAAUUGUUAAGGCAGCACUCCAAAAUUUGGUUGUGGAGUAGUUUGUAGAAAGUGUAAUUUGUAAUUUGAAGCUCGAAGAAUAUAGAAAUUUGUAGUUUUUAUCAAAUUGUGGUUGUAAAUUUACACUUUGUAGUUUGAAGAAUGUUGUAUCUAAGAGUUAAGAUCUCCAAAUCCACCUUGGAACAUUUCAUCUUGAAAGUAUGAAUACAACUAGCUGAAUUGUACAAUUUUAGCA